rnacentral:rRNA from 1 species
CCUACGGGAGGCAGCAGUGAGGAAUAUUGGUCAAUGGACGAGAGUCUGAACCAGCCAAGUAGCGUGAAGGAUGACUGCCCUAUGGGUUGUAAACUUCUUUUAUAAAGGAAUAAAGUGAUGCACGUGUGGGUUUUUGUAUGUACUUUAUGAAUAAGGAUCGGCUAACUCCGUGCCAGCAGCCGCGGUAAUACGGAGGAUCCGAGCGUUAUCCGGAUUUAUUGGGUUUAAAGGGAGCGUAGGUGGGUUGUUAAGUCAGUUGUGAAAGUUUGCGGCUCAACCGUAAAAUUGCAGUUGAUACUGGCAGUCUUGAGUACAGUAGAGGUAGGCGGAAUUCGUGGUGUAGCGGUGAAAUGCUUAGAUAUCACGAAGAACUCCGAUUGCGAAGGCAGCUCACUAAACUGCAACUGACAUUGAUGCUCGAAAGUGUGGGUAUCAAACAGGAUUAGAUACCCCAGUAGUC